rnacentral:lncRNA from 1 species
CAUUCACAGUGCAGGGUGGGAAAAAGUAUGUGAAGAAUUGUUGACUUGCGUGAAGCUGAAAAGGGUUACAAAAGUAUCUCUAAAAGUCUUGUUGUUCAUGUGUCCACAGUAAGACAGAAGGUCUACAAAUGUAGAAAGGCGUGGUCGUCCUGUAAAGAUGACUGCAAGAGCACAGCGCAGAAUGAUCAAUGAGGUGAGGAAGAAUCUUAGAGUGUCAGCUAAAGACUUACUGAAAUCUCUGGCACAUGCUGUGUUGAUGGCAGAGGCCUGACCAUAUCACCAGUGCUGCCAGUACAUUAAUACAUCACCAGUACAUUAAUUGAACAUUUAGGUGUGUAAAUAUACAAAAGAUACUUUUACUUACCUGGUUGUUGUCUUUGGGGGAUCUUCCAGGGGAAUGGCGGCCAUCUUAACUCCCCUUUUUGUAGUGUCCUUAGAGCUCCAGAUGUACUACAAGAUGGGGUGGGGGGGACUGCUUACUGGAACACCUGGGGGAGAGAAAAUGUAUGACAUCGUUGACAGAACCAUUUAAAGCACCAUUAUUUUUCAGGGGCAGGUGAUAAAGCAGUUAUCCAGGAGGUCAUUCUGGCCUCUAUCACAUCAGGCUGGAGGAGGGAGAGGAGGCUGUCGUUCUGCACUGAUAACACUGUGACGGACACAGAUGGCCUGGGCCGGGUCCAGCUGUACUCUGAAGGUGUCCUCUGCACUUCUGAUUCCACUGCUCACAAGAUCUGUAAUCGCAUUGGUAAAAACAGAGGUGAAGCACAGGUUCAGUUCAUAACUUGAUGAUUCAAUGAAUCAGGUAAUCUAAGGCCCCUUCCACAUGUAUGAGAUUUCUGUCUGAUUCGGGCCUCCCAUCUACAAAAAAAUAAUAAUAAUUAUCACUGAAAACU